UAGGGAAUCUUCCACAAUGGACGCAAGUCUGAUGGAGCAACGCCGCGUGAGUGAAGAAGGUUUUCGGAUCGUAAAGCUCUGUUGUUGGUGAAGAAGGAUAGAGGUAGUAACUGGCCUUUAUUUGACGGUAAUCAACCAGAAAGUCACGGCUAACUACGUGCCAGCAGCCGCGGUAAUACGUAGGUGGCAAGCGUUGUCCGGAUUUAUUGGGCGUAAAGCGAGUGCAGGCGGAAGAAUAAGUCUGAUGUGAAAGCCCUCGGCUUAACCGAGGAACUGCAUCGGAAACUGUUUUUCUUGAGUGCAGAAGAGGAGAGUGGAACUCCAUGUGUAGCGGUGGAAUGCGUAGAUAUAUGGAAGAACACCAGUGGCGAAGGCGACUCUCUGGUCUGCAACUGACGCUGAGGCUCGAAAGCAUGGGUAGCGAACAGG
rnacentral:rRNA from 1 species